rnacentral:lncRNA from 1 species
UCAAAGGCACCUCCUGGGUAAAGUGGGUCAAGGCCCUCACCAAGUGGUCCUCCACCAACUCUGUAUCUCUCAAUGAAUCCCAUGAGCACAACCUGGACAGCCCAGAUGGCCAGGAUGCUUUGGGCAUGGACAAGGUUUGGGUUGCCUAGGUAGUCCAGGCCGCCCUCGGAGAAGAUUUGAGACCCAGCCUUGAACCAAACAGCUUCACCAAACUUGAUGCCGUUCUUGGACAAGACUUCUGGGAAGACACAGCCUAAUGCACCAAGCAUGGCCCAUCGGCAGUGGAUCACCUCAAGCUCACGGUUCUUGGCGAAGGUCUCGGGGUCUGCAGAUAGUCCAGCAGUGUCCCAUCCAUAGUCAUAUGGAAAUUCACCGGUUAAGUAGGAUGGAGUUUGCUCAGAAAAUGGGCCCAAGUAUUUUGGGCGGUCUGCGCCAUACUUGUUUGGUCAGUUACAGAUGAAUGCGUUACCAUUCAAAGGUAUGAUUUAAACUUCCUAGUGCCUGAAAUGAAUAUUUUGGUGUUAUUUACAAUUCUACUAUAUGCAUUGAGCUACAAUACACUGUUAUAGUAAAUCAUAGUAACAUUUCAAUGCUAAGAAUUGUUUUACCAGUGAUUACAUACAAGUUUAUGGCUUUGUGCAUUGAUCUUAAGCUAACUGCUACAUCAUUUAUAUCAAUUCUUAGUAAGAGUUGUUUCUAGAAACUGACUUGUAGUCAAGGCUAUAGCCAAGGUACUUACCAUAUGCUUUGAGGGGCACUUUUAACAGUGCGCCUCAUGGUGAUGCAUCUUUUGAAUGAGCUCAUUCGACUGCUUCUGAACGGUCUGGCUGGCAAAUGCAGACUGCUGGAUCGGAGAGGUUGCCGUGACUGUUGUUCUGUUUGAAGUAGGGUGGUCUUGAGCUGGUGCUAGCUAGCAAUGAAAUGAAGAUGUUUUGAACUAGGAUAUCACACAUCAACAGCACUCUAUUGUUUCUGGAUUGGAUUUAGAUUUCCUUGGAGGGCUGGUAGGUUCCUUUGGCCCUGUGGGGGGCAAUAUGCUGCAAUAUGUGUGGUUGGUGAAUACAGGCCACAUGAGCUUGUAAUUUGGGUCCAUGGUAGGUCUGACCAUAAGGACAAACAUUUUAUAGGUCCACUUAUAACCUCAUCAAAUCUCUAACUUUCCGUUGGGUGCUUUUUAUUUGUAGAUUGGGAAAAUUUUAAGAAUAGUACAUGACAAAUGGUCUACUUCUAAAUUUGGUGUAUCAAGUUUCAAAACAAUCAUAAAGGUGCAUGACAUUAGAAUCAUGACACAUUUUUAGUACAUGACGUCAUUAACUCUAUAUAAUUUCUUAAUUUUCAAAGGGUGAUUUCGGGUUUUCUCCAUUCUCCAUUUUCUUUAUAUUUGUUUUACUCUUUUUCUAUUUAUAUAUAUAUAUAUAUUUUUUUUUUUUAAUUUUGUUAGCUUAGACCAUAAUCUUAAUGACUUUGUUAUCUGCAAGUAGAUCACUCUAUUACAUUUUUUGUUUAAUUUUGGUCUUCAAGAAAUUGUUGUUUUGUUACCGGUUUAGCAAUGAGAAUUGGAUCUUCUAUACUCAAAAAUGACUUUACUGCUCCUCAAAAAAUUUAUUAUUAGUUCAGCAAUAAGAAUUGGAUAUUUUUGAUUUCUCUCACGUUCUCUCUCCUUAGUAAUUAUUAAUUAUAAUAAUUUAUUACUGCUAAAUUAAGGAGUGACAGAUUUGUCCCUCAAAUUGUAACGGAAAGCACAUAAGAUCAUGAAAGACAUAACGACAUGUACAUGUUUUUGGUUGAGAUUAGAAGUUCUUGUAUCUUUAUGAUUGUUUUAAAACUUGAAACAUUAAAAUUAAGAGUAGAUCAUUUGUCAUGUAUUGUUCUUAAAAUUUUCCCUUGUAGAUUUAUAUGGUAAAAAUUGAAGUCUACCUCUGGUUUGAUCUAUUCAUCAAAUGCUUCUCAUGAGCCGCAACUAUUCUUCAAAAUUAGCUUGACAAUUUACCUAAUGUGCAUGUAAAAUUUUGAUCGCUAGCCAUAAUCCCCAAACAAUCUUCCAAAAUGGGGAAUUCGAAACAUUCUAGAUUACAGGAUUCAUCAACUCGCUAGUAAAUCAUAUUUAAGUCCAGAACCAAUUAAGGAAAGUACCAUUAUUCCUCGCAGGACUCGUACAAGUUACCAUAGAAGAAAAGGCCAAUUAUUCCAGAGUCCAGACAAAAGAAAAAGAAAAGAAGGAUUAAAAAAAAGAAAAAGAAAAAAAAGAGAGAAGCUAACUAAAGCAAACAAUUUCAUAAUUAAGGGGCAUUGUUAUUUUCCGGACUAUAUAUGUGUUUCAUGGUGUUGCUACAUAUCUUGCAUACUAUCAGUAGCUUUUCUCUUCAUCUUUCCAUUAAGAUAUCAUAAGAAAUUACUAUUGCUGUUCUGAAGAUAGAGUGACAAGGUUGGCUAGCUCCAAACUGUAGAAAUUCAAGUCUCUCAAAUCAAGGUAUACGUGCAUGAAUGGUGGGAAUUUUUAGUAUUUAAAUCUUUUUAUAAAUCUUUUCUAAUUGAUCAUUCUGUAAUGUAAUUCGUUUUUGUCAUUGUUGCCCUUUCUUCUUGUCUCAGUUGUUCUCUUUAAUUGAUGUGAUCGAUCUAUAUGCGAGAAUAAUAUUGAUCAAGUCCAGCUUAUAUAUGCAAAAUUAAUCGAGUAUAAACUAGGGAAUAUCAAUUAAACUCUCCAGCUGCUUGAUUACUUUGCAUACAAGUAGAGUUGAUUGUUUUGUGUGUACACUGAAUCAGAUACAAAUUGCUGACAAGUAGAGAGAAAUCAGAGAUGGCUCAGCUUCAACAUUUCAGUCACCACCAUCCAUUGAUGUUCAAGGAAGAGGCGCAGAAGGAUAAACAUUGCCGUGCGUGUGGGGACCCGGUGCUUGGUCCUAGCUACAGUUGCAGCCAGUGUUCCAAACUAUUCAUUCUCCACAAAUCAUGUGCCGAGCUCCCCCGUGAGAUGCAUCAUCCGAUACACCGCAAGCAUCCACUUGUUCUCUCAUGUAUGGACAGGGAGUACACUUGCGAUAUUUGUUGGAAAACCCAUCCCAUCAACUUAUUCGUUUACAGAUGUGAGCCAUGUGCAUUCGAACUUCAUCUCCAAUGUGCUUCUGAAUUGAGCAACACAAAAUACUUAGAGCACUUCAGUCAUGAGCAUGCACUGAUCAUUCAGGAAGAUCCGGACAAAAGGAGAGUUUGUCAAGGGUGCAAGGAGGAAGUGGGCGGUCCAUGCUAUCGUUGUUGCCGAAUUCUUUGCUGGUACUAUCUCCAUAAGUCAUGUGCGGAGAUGCCCGUUGAGUUUCGUCACCCCAUGCAUCCCAAACACCCACUUAUUCUCAACAAAGAUAGAGCAAAACAAUACCUUUGUGAUGCGUGCGGCCAAGAUUGUAGUGGCAAGUUCACUUAUAGUUGCUUCCAAUGUGACUUCAACCUUGACCCAAAAUGUGCUUUCACUAAACAUUACUCUCAUAUCCAUCCAUUGAUGUUUAAGGAAGAUGAUGCUGCAGCAACAGUAUUAGUAGCAGGUCCACCGGUUGUAUGCUUUGCGUGUGGGGAUCCAGUAGUUGGUCCUAGCUAUAGUUGUUACCAGUGCUUAUUCGUUCUCCACAAGUCAUGUGCGGAUCUUCCGCAUGAAAUGCAUCAUCCAAUACACAACACACACCCACUUGUUCUUCUUUCAGAUAGAAACUACUGUUGUGAUAUUUGUCGCAGAUCCCAUUCCGGCUUAUUCUCUUACAGUUGUAGCCCAUGUAACUAUGAGCUUGACAUCCAAUGUGCUUCUGACUUGAGCAACAUAAAAUACAUAGAGCACUUUAGUCAUGAGCAUGCGCUGAUCUUUGUAGAAGAUCCGAAAAGGCGAGAGGAAGGGUUACCAGUUGUUUGUCAAGGGUGCCAGGAGGAUGUGUCGGGUCCGGGCUAUUGUUGCAGCCGUUUUCUCUGUCACUACACUCUCCACAAGUCAUGUGCGGAGCUUCCCUCGGAGUUUCAUCACCCGAUGCAUACCCAACAUUCACUUGUUCUUAACAAAGAUAGAGGACGAGGAUUCCUGUGUGAUGCGUGUGACCAAGAUUGCAGCCGCAGGUUCACUUAUAGUUGCUGCCAGUGUGACUUCAGCCUUGACUCAAAAUGUGCUUUCAAUUGGACCGGUUUUAAACAUUUCAGUCACGAGCAUCCGUUAUUGUUCGAGAGAGAGCCGAAAAAGAAAUACUUUGGUCCGCUGUUCUGCGAUGGCUGCCAGGAUCCAAUACUUGGUCCUAGUUACACGUGCAUCAAUACCUUCCGGCGUCGCAAAUGUAGCUUCAAUCUUCAUAAAACAUGUGCAGAGCUACCCCAUGAAAUUGAGCACCCGAUGCACCGUCAACACCCACUUCUUCUCCACAACAUUCUUCCGGAUAUCAAGCAGGUACGUCGCCUUUGUAAUGUUUGCAACAAACCUGGCAGAUUCCUCUACUGCUGUUCCAUAUGUGACUUCAACCUUCACCUCAAGUGUGGCUCAAAUUGGAAAACUAUUCUUGCUAACGAGUCUCACGAGCAUCAGUUCACAGUCCUCGGGAGGAAAAUGUUUGACCACGUUAAUUGUGACGUUUGUGGUGAGUAUUGGACUACCGGGGUCUACUACAUGUGUAGCAUUUGCCAGCUCUUCGUCGAUAAGGAAUGUGCUUCAUUACCACGCAGCAUCAAAAAACCUGACCAUCAACACCACCUAAAGCUGACCUGGUUCCUUGACAACAUCUGCCCCAACAACCUGUCGUGCAAAGUGUGCUCCAUAAGCAUUGAUAAAUGUCGCGCUGCUUAUUGUUGUGGUGAAUGUAGCAGUUAUGUCGCCCAUGUCGCAUGUACAACAGCUGAGUACUCUCGAGAAGAUAGUUUUUUAGACACUGCCCUGAAUGAUGAUGAGUCUGAUGAUGCUCUAGAGAUCACACACUUCAGUCACCCACAUCCAUUAGCCGCUAAUGAUCCUUGUGAGGAAGUUAAAGAUGAGCACAGACUAAUUAGCUGUGAGGGAUGCAUCCGCCCCAUAAAUGCCACCAAAGAAUCCUUUUAUAGCUGCACUAAACAAGAAGAUGAGUUGUGUAGUUUCUUUCUCCAUAAGGUAUGUGCUCAAUUACCUAAAAAAAUGUUUCUCCCUCUACUUCACCAACACCAGUUAAUGCUCCUCUCAAGGGCACCUUCUGUUGGUGGUGUCUUCCAGUGUUAUAUGUGUGGUGCUUUUAACCAAGGCUUCACAUAUACUUGUGAGAAAUGUGGCUCACAAAAAGGCGAAACUGUUUUCUUCCUCGACCUUCAGUGCAAUGCCUACUGGGAUAACAAGGCUCUUAUUAAACAUGACUCUCAUGUUCACCACCUCCUCCUCACAACAGAAUGGGACGACGUCCAUUGCAGCAGUUGUGGGUGUAAUAUAUUCUUCUGCUUUAGUUGUAAGAGAUGUAAAUUUCAUCUAUGUAUUCCAUGUGUUAGAUUACCUCUUACUGCUAGGCACCGUUACGAUGAUCAUCCUCUCAAGCUCACAUAUGCUAGCGUAUAUGAUGAGCUCGGUUACUACUGUCAAAUAUGCGAAGGAACUCGAGAUCCAACACAAUGGUUCUACCGCUGCAACGAUUGUGACUUUGAUUGCCAUGCUCAUUGCAUUGUGGGGAGUUAUCCACAAGUCAAGUUAGGGAGUACUUGCAAGCACGAAGCUCAUGCUCAACACCUCGUCACCCUUGUUGAUAAGGCCAGAAGCCCCAUUCGGUUCGAUAAGAGAGAAAACAUUCUUCCUUGCCUGAAAUGUGGAGAGCCUUGUGUAGGAUUGGUGUUUGAAUGUGGGGAUUGCAUUAUAAAUAUCCACCGAGAAGGAUUUUGUCAGGUAACAGCUUUGGAGAGUUCUGCCAAUCAAGCCUCCAAAGAAGAGACAAGCCAAUGAUUCCAAAGCGAGUUUAUUACUCACAUGUAUGUUGUAUCAUGCCAUCCAGUUUGUGUUGUUUUUCGUCUUCGUGUGUUACUAUUUUUUGUUGUUGUUCAUCUAAAGUGUUGAAGUUUGUAAGUUCUGCAAGCAUUACAGAAAGUUUGUAUCGUUUGAACUGAAAGCUUAUGUAACGGUUUCUGGCAUUUAUUUUCAUUUGUACGUGUUGGGAAAAUGAAUGUUAUGAUUCUACUAGUUGCGAACAAAGCAAUCAACGUAUGAAGAGAAGUGAUAUACAACAAAGUUCAAUUUAAAUAAUUUCAUAAUAUCCACUAUAUCUGUCUCACUUGAUCAUUCAAGCUGUAACAAACAAGUAACUUAGUCGUAAAAUUGAAUCAGUUUAGUUUGCUGGGCAUGGAAAAUUAUGAGUUGGUGCAUGCGUAUUAGUGCUAUUGAUAAUGCCUGGACAAAUGAUAGUGGCAUUAUUGAUCAUUUCCUUGAUAACCUCAAAACAUUCACCACCAUAUAUAUGGGAAGAUUUUAGCCUAUAUUAUUUUGAUGUGUAACAGAAUACAAGUGAAUAUCAAGAAGAGUAAGGUAUCCCAAAUUUAUGAAAAGGAAAAGGGAAUUAUAUUCUGUUUCCCCAGGCAAAGCAAAAGCAAACUUCUCUCAACAAAUGAAAACUCAUUGUGUUUCAUGACACCCUACAUUAGUUUGCCUCUUUGCUAAUGCAAUGAGGAGAAAAAUAUGAGAAAACCUAUCAAUUCAAUGUCGAUAAUAUGCUUGGAAAUGUUAUUUGUUCUCUUCUGUGUAAGCUGAGUAGUUGAAGUAACCUAUUUACUUGCUUAUGAUUUAGAUUUACGAAUUACCUACACAUUAUAGUAAAAACUUACAUAGUUGACAUGCACAUGUGAAUGAAUGUGCAGCACAUUUUAGACACACAAUGAGUUCAAGCACAAGAGCUGGGAUAUUUUACUAGGCACAAUGAUUUCCAUACAAGGAAUUUUUACUCAGACAAAACAAAGUUAGUCGAGUUGCUUAGUAUAGAACCUCUAUCUUAAGAGUUCGAGUCUCAACACCCACCAGUUUGUGACCAACAAGUUUAAAAGGUCUCCGUGUUUGUACGCCUGCGACGAAAGAUUAAUUGUCUUUAUUGAGAUACUCGUGGAUCUUGGUCCAAAUACUGACUGGGAAAAUGUGUUACUAUCUUGCUAACGUAACCGAUGUGGCUUGCUAUUUCACUCUCGACAUAAAAAUCAUUUUCGAACAAAUGACAAAAAGAAUCGAUUUUUAUUCCUUUCCUUGACGACUAGUAAAAGACUAAACUAAAGUAAUACUGCUCGCUCUCAGUUCUUAAGAAACCAUAAGACUAAAGCUUGCGUUCACUCUUAUCGACAACUAUUCUUGACUAAAGCUUGCAUUCACUCUUUCAUGAUGGCAACUGUUCUCCUUCAUGAUUUUCAUGGUAGGCCCAUCUUUGUCGUAUCUAUACAUGUUGGAAGAGGUUUCGUGCCUAUUUAAGAGGCAUUAGCAUCGAGAGAUAGCUUGGUAGAACCAAAGGAGAAAGACUUUACAAGAGUGAAAAUAGAAGAAGAUUCCAAGCUAGUAAUAGAAACGGUGAAUGAUCGAUUUGAUCCGCCCUGAGAUUGAUCAAACUAGUUCAAGACAAUAGAGUUGAUGACUAGUUUUGAUUUCAUUAAUUUAUUAAGAAUUCUAGAGUCUUAUUUUAUAACAUUAUGUAGUCGUAUAUACUUAAAAUCUAGAGAGUCGAGCUACGGAUAUAAGAUCAAGAAUGUGUAUCGACUCUUGAGAACACAACAGUAGAUAAUUUAAGCCAUUUACUUCUUCACUGCGUGAUCCCCUUGUAAACUCCUCCAGAAAGAGAGCCAUGCUUCAGCUCACACCCCCCCACCCCCUCCCUCCACAAAGCCUCUCCUUCUCUCUCCUUCAGAGCUGCCAAACCCUCAAAGAAGCCACCCCAGCUCCACGCCCUCUCCCUCAAAACCGGCGCCUUCACCAACCCCUCCAUCGUCUCCCGUCUCUUGUCCCUCUACGCCCACCCCUCCAUCAACCACCUCCCCUACGCCCUCUCCGUCUUCUCCCACCUCACCAACCACCGCUCCCCUCCGCUGAUUGAUGGGUACGCCAGGUGUGGGAGGGUUGACGUUGCGGUGGAGCUGUUUGAGGAGAUGGAGGAGAGGGAUGAGUUUUCGUGGACGGUUUUGGUGGAUGGGCUGUCCAAAUGCGGGCAGGUUGAGAAGGCUAGGGAGGUUUUUGAGAGAAUGCCGAGUAAGAAUGUGGUUUCGUGGAAUGCUAUGAUUAAUGGGUACAUGAAAGGUGGGGAGUUUGAGAAGGCGAGGGAGUUGUUUGGUCAGAUGGGGAGUAGGGAUGUGAUAAGCUGGAAUUCGAUGAUUGCUGGGUAUGAGUUUAAUGGGCGGUUUGGGGAGGCGUUGGAGUUGUUUCGAGAAGUGUUGGAGGAGGAUGUCAGGCCGACUCCUGCUACAUUGGUCAGUGUGCUUUCUGCGGUUUCGGGAUUGGCUGCUUUGAGUAAGGGGAGGAUAGUUCAUUCUGUGAUGGUGAAACAUGGGUUUGAAUUGGAGGGUGUGCUUGGUACGUCGUUGAUAUAUAUGUAUUCUAAGUGUGGAAGCAUAGACAGCGCGAUGGCUGUGUUUGAAGGGAUACAGAGGAAGAAAGUGGGCAUUCGACGGCUAUAAUUGUAGGUUUGGGAAUGCAUGGUAUGGCUGACCAGGUUCUUCAGCUGUUUCUGGAAAUGCGCACAAAUGGGAUGGAGCCUCAUGGUAUAACUUUUAUCGGAAUCUUGAAUGCUUGCAGCCAUGCUGGAUUGGUUGAUCUUGGCCGUUACUAUUUCAAUAUGAUGAGAAAAGAUUAUGGUAUUGAACCCACAAUUGAGCACUAAGGUUGCUUUGUGGACAUUUUAUGUCGAGCUGGCUGUUUGGACGAGGCAAAGGAUGUCAUUGGGAGUAUGCCAAUGAAACCAAACAAAUUUAUUUGGAUGAGUUUACUUAGUGGUGCUCGGAUCCAUAAAAUGUUGAUAUUGGUGAUUAUGCUGCUCAACAUCUUAUUGAGGUGUCUCCAGAUACUAUUGGAUGCUACGUUGUGCUCUCUAACAUGUAUGCUGCAGCUGAUCAGUGGGAGAAAGUUUCACAUGUAAGAGAAAUGAUGAAAAAGAGAGGUGUCAGAAAGGACCCGGGAUGCAGUAGCAUAGAGCACAGAGGUAUGCUUCAUGAGUUUAUUGUAGGCGACAAAUCGCAUCCCCAGACAAAAGAGAUAUAUUCCAAGUUGAGUGAGGUGAGAGAGAAACUGAAAUCUGCAGGACAUGUUCCCGACACGAGCCAAGUUUUAUUGUGUCUUGAGGAUGAAAAGGAGAAGGAAGCUGAACUGGAAAACCAUAGCGAGAGAUUGGCUAUUUCAUUUGGUCUCAUUAAUUUGGAACCGAGGAGUCCUAUUCGCAUCAUAAAGAAUCUUCGUGUCUGUAAUGAUUGCCAUUCUGUCACUUAACUCCUUUCCAAGAUCUAUAGUCGUGAAAUUGUUGUCAGAGAUAAUAGCCGUUUCCAUCACUUUGCCAAUGGGUCAUGUUCUUGCAAAGAUUUUUGGUGACUGACGUCUUAACCGGCUGGCUUUCACGCCCGUGAUAAUUCCCUUAAGCAAGAAGCAGCUUACCUAUUUGUGCUUGCACUCUUCAAAUUGGAGAAGCAAAUGGUAUAAUUUCUACUCAUUUUAAACUUUUCUUUUUGUCUUCGUUUUAGAUAUGUUUAGCAGUAUAGGCAGUCUUGAUGUAAUGAUAUUACUUUCCCAACUUGACUCCGCGGUCAUAGGUUUGAGUCAUGAAAAACAGCCUCUUUUGUAACACAGAUAUGAUUGCAGAGGCCUUGCCCUCAUAUUUAAUUUGUGUUCCUCCUACUCAGGUUGUAUUGAGAGAUAAUCGCAUUUGCCAUAUUUUCUUUCAUCUGCAUUAGUGAAAGGUUUGUAGACUGGGGAUUCCCAAAAUCAUAGGCGAUCUCCAUUAUAAUGAAAUUAAACAGGAGUAAAUAUCUAUUCCAUCUUCCAGGGUAUUCUGUGGGUAAAAGUUUGCAGAACAAUUUCCUAAAUUUAUUGUGUUGUGCCUUUUUUUAUAGGAGAAACAUAAAGUUAUUCUUCUGUAUGUUCUUUCUGGACUGAUUGACUCUAAUGUGCUGAACCCCAAACCUAUGCUCGUCUUAGCAAUUUAGUGUAACCACUGUCCACUGGUGUCUCUUUAAUUGUAGGCAUUUAUGUAUGUGUUCAUGUUAUACGUAUAUUAGUAUAGGCUAUUCUUAAGGCGUGUCUUGACGCGACAUACGACUUGUUCCAUUUUCAUAAGAUCCUCACUGUGUAUUGCCUGCUUAUAGUACUGUAUUGGCUAGAAACUUAUGCAUUGGCCAUAGCAAACCAGGCAAUCUUUAACUAACUUUAGAGUGAGAAAUAAUUUCAUCAUUUCGAAAAGGAAUCAUAAGUUGGGCAGUUUUAUUGUUUCACUUUCUCUAUGUGUAGUCAUUGAUAUUAGUGCGCUAUAUGUACAGAUAAAGAUGUGGAAACUUAGGAAGCUAGGAUCAAUGAGAUAAUCUUGUGAUUUCAGUUUUUUAUUUUCCCUUCUGAUUUGAUAAUUAAAAUUAUUCAUAUCUUCCAUUUAUCUCAUUCAUAGCUUAGAUUUACCUUAUAUUGCAGCAAAUAUUCAUCUUUUCAUGAUAACUCUUGAAUGUGCAGGUAAUAUAGACAGAUAAGGAAUUCAACCACAAACGAGCUGGGUCUUUUUACUGGAUAAAGUGUUUUUGAUACAAGCAGUUUCUACUAGGAAAUUAUAUCAGAACUUGCUUCGGAAAAUAUAUUACAUCAGAAUUAAUAGAUUCCCAGAGAAACAACCUCAUCGAAAUCGAGAAGUUUGGGUAGUGUUGCAGAUCAAAAGUAUCAAGUUUUGGUAGUGUUGCAGAUAAAAAGUACCAAACUUCUUCACUUUCCGGGGACGAAGUUUGUGGCAUAAGCCCAUGCAUUGUUAGCAAUUGGAUCAGCAACAUGGUCAUAGAGGUUCUCAAUAGGACCCUUUCCAGUGACAAUAGCCUGAACAAAGAAUCCAAACAUGGAGGUCAUUGCUACCCGCCCAUUUUUCAGUUCCUUCACCUUCAGUUCAGCAAAGGCUUCAGGAUCAUCAGCUAGUCCAAGUGGGUCAAAUGAUCCUCCUGGGUAAAGUGGAUCCAGACCCUCACCAAGGGGGCCUCCACCGACUCUGUACCCCUCAAUGAAGCCCAUGAGGACAACCUGGACGGCCCAGAUUGCCAGGAUGCUGUGGGCGUGGACAAGGUUUGGGUUGCCGAGGUAGUCCAGGCCGCCCUCGGAAAAGAUUUGGGACCCGGCCUUGAACCAAACAGCCUCACCGAACUUGACACUGUUUUUGGACAAGACUUCUGGAAAGACGCAGCCCAAUGCACCUCAAGCUCACGGUUCUUGGCAAAUGUCUCGGGGUCUGCAGAUAGUCCAGCAGUGUCCCAUCCGUAGUCACCUGGGAAUUCACCAGUCAAGUAGGAUGGAGUUUGCUCAGAGAAUGGUCCCAAGUAUUUUGGGCGGUCAGGACCAUACCUGUUUUGUCAUAUGCAGUCAAAGUGUGUCAGGAUAAGCUCAAGCUCUUCAAAGGUAUUUAACCUAUAUCUAUGCUUUGAGAUGACGUCAGCACUGUUCACGAAGCGCUGUUCCCGUGAGCAGUGCUGGGCCUCAGUGCUGGACAAUUGAUGUCUGGAUUUCCGAGUGUGCUCUCAUUCUUUUGUCUGGAUUCUUCCAUCUUUUUCUUCUUUCUUCUACAAUUGAUGUCUAAAUUCUUCCAUAUUUUUAUUCUUUAUCUACAAUUGAAAUCUGUGUGGUUCAGAGGUGCGAUACCAUUUUUCACCCUCACUGUUCCCAGAGCAGAUCAUCCAGUUUCUGGUCCGAGAUCAGCCGCUGCCUUCUCUUUUGCUCUUCCGAGAUCAAUCUUUCAUUGCUUUGUUCUGUCUCCUCUCUCACUGCUCUACCGCUUCUCUUUCGUCAGACUGGAACCGAGCUCCCUCUUUCAACUGUAGCCCUCUGAUCUCCUUAGUUCCAUGCAUUCAGAACAAGUGGUUUCGAGCAAUUGAUUGCAGGCUCUGUGGCAAGCUUAUGAUAAGAACCUUCUUCUCAUUCUACUUCUCACGCCAAUUUCUACCAAUGGCAAUGAUAAUGAAUUUAACGGGUUCCUUAGAGGUAGUAUAUUCUUUUGUAAUAUGUUGUUAGAUUGAUAUUGAUUAUAUCAGUGGUUUUUAUUGUUGCUAUUUAAUUCUUUGUAUUUCGAAAAAGGUGUCUAAAAGAUUUUGAAGAUGUGGCUACUCUUAAAUUGAUGGGAAAACUAGGUGAUACAUUCUUUCGAUUCACCUGUCAGAUCCUACUCAAAAAAAGACAGUACAAAGAUGAAGAAGAUUUGCCUCAGUAGAUAAGCAUUAAAUUUGGUGAGUGUCAUUUGUAGGACACUCAUAUAGUCAAAUCCAAAUACAACAUUGCAAUUUUGUUUAUCUGCGAUAUCUGUUUUGCUGCAGAAUCAAAGAUCAACUCAAAAUUGGGGGAAACAGAGCCAAAUGGAGUGCAAAUUUCAGCUCUGGAUUAAUAUUGGUAAGAAGGCAGGACGUAUCCUGUAAUAUGUCUUUAUAAUUGAGCUUCUAAUCAAUCGUUGUUAAUCAGAUGUCCCUGUAACGCAUUUUUUUUGCUGCAGUUAUAUUCUUUUAUUUGUUGAACUGUUGAUGGGUUCGUUGUUUCAGUAUUUAGUUUUAAUUGUAACUGUUCAAUGUUACUGGGAUAGACGUGCAUAAGAACCAAAGUGCUUUCUGAACAAAAAUAAAUAAAAUCGAACAAGGAUAUAGUAGAAAGAACUCAAGCUGAAAUAUGAGGCAGUAAAGUUUUUGAGUCUUUAAUUGAGUGCGAUUAUAUUUAUAAUUUGUAAAUAAAUAGCCAACCAGCUAGCUUAGUAGUAGGAGUACUGAGUCAACUGAUGCUUGAAGGUAGGUAUAUAUUUUCUUUUCUUCAGGAAUCAAAGUGUUGAUCAAGGAAUUGCAUAUGCUUAUCAUAAUGAGCUUAAAUCUGGUCAUUUACUUCAAGCAAUAUCUGCACCUGAGUAACUAAUAGCAACUCAAAUAGGAACUGAGGCCUCUUUGAGUAGACAUGAUACUAGAAAAAUCAGAAUGUCUUUUUAUAAGUAUUUUUAUGUUUGUUGUAGUUCGAUGUCAGUUUUGAAAAUACCUUCCUGAAGUAUGUUGAUUUGGGAUAUGUGAUUGAACAUCUUUACAUUUACUUUAGUAGUAGGGUAGCAUGGCUAAAGAUCUAAUAUCUCUGCAUUUAUUGAUAAAAUACAGGCAUAUAACAACGCUGCAGCCACUUGCUUGGGAAAACCAGUGAGAGGAUUUAACAUCAAAAAGAGAGGUAAACUUAGGUGUUCAUGUAUGCUAGAACUUUAACAUUUUAAGCUGCAAAAACACAAGAUAUGGGGUCAUUAUUAAAAAUUGUUAAUUAGUUAGUUUCCAUUGCAGUGACGUACUCUUUUAUUCUUUGUGUUGGACAUUUGAAUAAUAGGAAAGUUAUGCUUAUAUUAAAGAUAAACUCUUCUUUCAGGUUGAUUUGAUGGGCAAGGCGCAAUGACUCCAAAGGGGUCUUAAUCGAAUUACAGGACCUGUGAAUGCUUAUACUUAAAGGGGUUUGAUUAGCCUCUUCCAGUUGGAUUUUGAUCUUAUUCUUUCAUAUACAGUAUAUACCUUUUCCGUUUUCUUUUUUGGUAUUUGGUUCGGCUACGUACAUGAAUAUGUGCAUCAAUUUCAUUGACAUAUUAGAAGAAUAUAUUUGGGUCCUGAUUAGUUUGAAAUGGAUAUUACUGCCUGUUAGUUUAUUUAAUCAUGUGAGGCAUUUGAUAGAAGAAUUAUUGAUCGAAAAUAUUUUACCUGCUAACAUUGGAGCAUUUCUUUAGAACAGAUUAUUUACUAUCUUAUCAGUUGUUUAAAUUUUUACAUUUGAAAAGGAUAUUGUUUGUUAGCUUUGGCACAAAAUUGACAUAAUACAUUUUCCAGCUCUCAUACCGUCAAAGCCUGUAAGCUACUCUUUUUUUACUUAUAUUUUUCCUUUCAUGAUGCAGUUUUACAAUUUCACAGGCAACAACAGCUUUCCUAUGGACUGGGCGAGACAAAUAUGAAAAAUAUGAAGUCUUUGCAGAAGAUAACCAUUAUGGAUUGAAACAUACCUGAUCCAACAGUUGAUGAGGUAAAGACUACUGGUUAUAAUUAAUCUGCGCUAUAACAACUAUGCAGUUAUAAUUGCAAUCUAAACAUGAGUUUCAUUGAGUUACAGGAUAAAUUGUUCUACUAAACAAUCAUAGUUUUUGUGCCCUUAAGCUUAUUUAUUAAUUUUAAUGAACAAGAAGAGUGAUUUGUAGUUCUGCUGUGGUUUUUAGUUAUUUGGCUUGCUGCCUUUUGCAUUUUUGGUAACUGUUAUCACUUCCAUUAAAUUGGCAAUCUUAUAUCAUCAGUAUAUGUUAUUACUUCUUUUCUGCAUCUAUUAUUUGUUGUUGCUAACUAUUCUACUCUUAGUGUGGCUUAUUAAUGGAUAACUAUUAUGUCUACAUAUCUUCAGGGCAUGGAUUGAUUCCAGAACCAUGUCCAUGGCCAUGAUCAAAUUGAUUUCAGAACCAUGUUCAUAUAACAACAAUUCUGUAUGGUGGGGUUUGACUAGCUUACAGCUAAAAUGGACAACAAUGGUAUUCCUCAUGGGUAGAUUUUAUUAAUUACAGAAGACAAUUUGCCACAAACAUUACUAAAGAUGUUAAAGAUGAAAGAUGAUUGUCUUCUAUAUUUUUCUGUAGCAUCCCUAAAAACAAGCACAGCAGAUGCUAGCACAAUGCACAUGUAUCAAGGUAGAUGUAUAUAUUUUUGUUGUUUGUCAGUAAUUUGCAAUCAACAAGUUUACAAAUCUUUGUAAUUAUAGAAUGAUCGUUAUUAGUUCAUUGAAACAAGAACAUUAUAGUGCAUUGUCAUAGUAAAGCUUUUUUUUUUUUGGAUAAUAGUAAAGCUAAGAAUAAGGAUUUUACUCUGUUUCAAGCAAAGUUGAUAACUGAUAUAGCAUUUAUCGACCAUAAAAAAUGACAUGUUACAGUAUUGAAAGUCCCGCACAGCGAGCGGGCUACCUUUCUAGUGAUGUAUACUUACUAAUGAACAUAUAUGAUCAUGUUGGUCAUAUACUCUUAUACUUAAAAGCACUGAAGUACUAUAUACUGCUAAAAGACUACCAUUGUAUAUUGAUUGUUUAGUAUUUCAAUGCCAAGAGUUGUUUUACUACUGACUAUAUUUACUUUGUUCUCCAAUCCUAACCUUUACUACUGAUUGUUGAAUUGGAAGUUAUAGUAAGAGUCCUUUCGAGAAAAAACUUUUAGUCACAGGCUGUAGCCAAGUUACUCACCAUAUACUUUCGGGGGCACUCUUAACAGUGCGCCUCAUUGUGAUGGGGCCACCACCAAGGCCUCCAAUCUUUUUGAUGAGCUCAUUCGACUGCUUCAAUGCGGUCUGGCCGGCAAAUGCUGACUGCUGGAUUUGAGAGGUUGCCAUGGCUAGUUUUCUGUUUGAGGUGGGAUGGUGUUGAUCAGGCUAUGAAUUGGGAUGUUUAGAACUAGGAGAGAGCGGGGUUUUAUAUAAUGGGAAUGGGAUAUGAUGUGGAUUAGGAUAUCUACAUAUCAGCAGAGUUCUAUUGUUUCUUGAUCGGAUAUAGAUUUCCUUACUGAUUCUUACAGGGAGGUAGAUGUUAUCCAGUAGGCAUGUGGCAGAAGGCUGCAAUGUGUGUGGUUUGUGAAUACCAGCCACAUAAGCUUGUGCUUUGGAAGUUCUUGCCUUCCUGGCAGCUCUAACCAAAAGGACAAAUACCCUGUUGAUAAGCUCAUAAAUUACACAAACUUCCUGUUGGUGCUUUUUAUUUGUAGAUUUACAGUAGAAAAAAAAACUCCAACUUCUGGAUUGACCUACUAGGGUUACAUUAUCCCGAUAGCUUUUAAAACUUGGUUCAUAAUCACACGUGGAGUCUAUUCUGAGUAAUGUAGUCUCAUCAACUGAACCAUCCUUUUCUAAGUCUUUACUGACUGAUAAUCAGCUAAAAGAAAAAUCUUCAAAGCAUACCAAUUUGUGUUGGAACAAGAGCGUUCUAGUUUAUUUACCACCUUACUGGGCAAAUGCAACAGAUGUGUUCUGGUCAAUUGCCUGGGAGGUUCUUAUGAAUCCCUUGCAUUAAGAGCACAAGUUGUUCAACUUGAUCAGCGUCAGCUUCUUCGCUCAAGUGUUUUUCAUGCUUCUGAAAUUUAAUAACCUCGAUCUGGUUCCCACAUCUGUUCCUACUUCUUUCAAUGCAUAUGACUGUUACGGAGCCGUAAUGACACAAUUUAAUAGGUUCUGCUGAUCUGCCCGUUAGCUAGAAGCCUAGAACACCUGCCAAAAUUCCUUGCCUGACCAUUGCCUAAUUGUUCAGAAGGCAAAUUAAAAUAGAACUUCUCAAUUGUCUGCAUCAUCAAGUUCAGUGGAACUUUCCCUUUCUGUUCUGGCCUGUCAUUGUCAUUGUCAUGCUGUCGGAAAGGUAGAGGCAUAUCCACAAAUGAGCACCAGAACUGCAAUCAGAAUACAGGCAUAAAAUGCAAAACUAUGCGUACAAGAACUUGGUCUCUACAAAAGAAUCUUGUAACAGGGUCUUUCUAUCUGGACUAUCAUCCUCAGUCACCAAUCUCAGGAAUGAUACUGAUGCUACUGAAAUGAUGUUAGCUUCUUCAUCAUGUCAUUGACAUUGUGUGGGCUGAAGGCUUGUAGAGGUGCUCCUUGUCUUUUUGUUUCAUUUAUAAUGCAGCUUAGUUUACCUAGUCUGGAUGGAAAGAUGAGGAAAUUUAUGAACGUGAUAAUAACAUGAUUUGAAUUUUUAUUCACUUCUAUGAAGUCUGUUUAAUUUAUUCUGGUUUAAUUUUAAAUAUACNNNNNNNNNNNNNNNNNNNNNNNNNNNNNNNNNNNNNNNNNNNNNNNNNNNNNNNNNNNNNNNNNNNNNNNNNNNNNNNNNNNNNNNNNNNNNNNNNNNNNNNNNNNNNNNNNNNNNNNNNNNNNNNNNNNNNNNNNNNNNNNNNNNNNNNNNNNNNNNNNNNNNNNNNNNNNNNNNNNNNNNNNNNNNNNNNNNNNNNNNNNNNNNNNNNNNNNNNNNNNNNNNNNNNNNNNNNNNNNNNNNNNNNNNNNNNNNNNNNNNNNNNNNNNNNNNNNNNNNNNNNNNNNNNNNNNNNNNNNNNNNNNNNNNNNNNNNNNNNNNNNNNNNNNNNCAAAUUAAAAGGAGCUGCAUCUUUUACUGGAUACAGAAAAAUAACAACUUUGGGUGAUUGUGCAGCUGAAAAGCCAGCAAUUUAGGUGUCUUCACUUUCCGGGAACGAAGUUGUUGGCCGCAGGAUCAGCAACGUGGUCAUAGAGGUCCUCAAUUGGCCCUUUUCAAGUUACAAUAGCCUGGACAAAAAAUCCAAACAUUGAGGUCAUCGGCAACCGCCCAUUCUUGAUUUCCUUCACCUUCAGUUCAGCAAAGGGUUCAGGAUUGUCAGCAAGUCCAAGUGGAUCAAAGGCACCUCCUGGGUAAAGUGGGUCAAGGCCCUUCACCAAGUGGUCCUCCACCAACUCUGUAUCCCUCAAUGAAUCCCAUGAGCACAACCUGGACAGCCCAGAUGGCCAGGAUGCUUUGGGCAUGGGCAAGGUUUGGGUUGCCUAGGUAGUCCAGGCCGCCCCCGGAGAAGAUUUGAGACCCGGCCUUGAACCAAUCAGCUUCAUCAAACUUGAC